UCCACGCCCUAAACGAUGUUCACUAGUCGUCGGAAUGCUAGUCAUUUCGGUGAUGCACUUAACCGAUUAAGUGUUCCGCCUGGGGAGUACGGUCGCAAGAUUAAAACUCAAAGGAAUAGACGGGGGCCCGCACAAGCGGUGGGAGCAUGUGGUUUAAUUCGAUGCAACGCGAAGAACCUUACCUACCCUUGACAUCCAGAGAAUCUGUUAGAGAUAGUAGAGUGCCUUCGGGA
rnacentral:rRNA from 1 species